rnacentral:rRNA from 1 species
UUAAGCCUACGGGGGGCAGCAGUAGGGAAUCUUCCACAAUGGGCGAAAGCCUGAUGGAGCAACGCCGCGUGGGUGAAGAAGGUCUUCGGAUCGUAAAACCCUGUUGUUAGAGAAGAAAGUGCGUGAGAGUAACUGUUCACGUUUCGACGGUAUCUAACCAGAAAGCCACGGCUAACUACGUGCCAGCAGCCGCGGUAAUACGUAGGGGGCAAGCGUUAUCCGGAUUUACUGGGCGUAAAGGGAACGCAGGCGGUCUUUUAAGUCUG